AGCACUCUUCCUCCCCCACAAGCCCAGCCACAUUUUAUCCCAAUUAGGAGGCCCAAAAUGGAUUACGAUUCCCAGCCCAUGCUUUCCCACAAUUCCCUCAAACAGAACUCCAGUGUCCCACAAACAGCAAUAAUGACACACAUUCAACCAUGCGCAAGCACUUGAAGCUAGUCAUAUAUGCUUAGCUACUUAGAACUAGUAACGAUAAUGCUAGCAACACUGGACCGGGCCUGGGGAUUCACAAGUGGUUGGUGCUGAUAGGCAUUUAUCUAGAGAUGCAGCUGUGGGCUAAGAGUGACUUUGUAUCUCCAAGAAACACUCUUUGCUUUCAUCAUUUUUCUUAGAUAUUCAUUGCUUUAAGGCACAGCCAGUUUUAAACAUUUAAACAAGAGUUGCAGAGUGCCUAGAUGUUACAGUUCUGAAACAUUUUCUCCUUCCCAUAAGAGACUGAGGCCUGAUUGUUCAUCCCCUCCCUCCUACCCACCCUCAUCAGAAUAAUAUGAAGCAUAUGAGGCACCAUCUUCAAUCAAACAAAGCCAAUGGCAGAACUACCACUGAAUUCAAAGGGAGCAGGACUGGACCCCAUAUGUAAAAACUGUAGCAAUCAGACAUGUGUCUAAGAUUCUCAGCGCAAGGAGAAAGGGUGGACUCUCACCAACACAGAGACUUCUAACUAUCUUAAUAAAAUUAAAUUUGAAAACCAA